CUGAGCUGGUUGCUGCUUUGAAAAAGAAGCACGUGGCCAUCCCUAUGGUAUUGAACUCAAGAUUUUGAUGUCGCCAUCCCCUGCAGUGGGUGGCAAGUACAAGAAAAAAAAAAAAAGACAGAGGACAGGACGUCCGCUGUGUCGCUUGGGAAGCAUGCCCGGCUGGUUGAAAAGCUGAGGUCGGCAAAGCAGAGGGUGCUGAACCUGGAGCAGGAGCCCCAGAUAGAGAGGACGCUAUCAAGAAGCAGCUGCUGGCACUACUAGUGGACAAUGUCCCGUCUGGCAGGGUUGGGUCAGCUCCUCCAGCUUGCCCAGCAGUGGUUCCUGC
rnacentral:lncRNA from 1 species